rnacentral:rRNA from 1 species
AUUGAACGCUGGCGGCAGGCCUAACACAUGCAAGUCGAACGAGUGGCGGACGGGUGAGUAAUGUCUGGGAAACUGCCCGAUGGAGGGGGAUAACUACUGGAAACGGUAGCUAAUACCGCAUACCAUCGGAUGUGCCCAGAUGGGAUUAGCUAGUAGGUGGGGUAACGGCUCACCUAGGCGACGAUCCCUAGCUGGUAUGAGAGGAUGACCUGCCACAAUGAAAAGGAGCCACGUUCCAGACUCUUACGGGAGGCAGCAGUGGGGAAUAUUGCACAAUGGGAGCAAGCCUGAUGCAGCCAUGCCGCGUGUAUGAAGAAGGCCUUCGGGUUGUAAAGUACUUUCAGCGAGGAGGCGUUACUCGCAGAAGAAGCACCGGCUAACUCCGUGCCAGCAGCCGCGGUAAUUC